rnacentral:rRNA from 1 species
GGUAAAGUAUGUGCAGGCAUCGGCGUGAUGAAGUAGGUCCCGAGGGGUGUCCGGAUUUAUUGGGCGUAAAGCGAGAGCAGGGGGGUUGAUAAGUCUGAAGGAAAAGGCUGUGGCUUAACCAUAGUAUGCGUUGGAAACUGGCAAACUUGAGUGCAGAAGGGGAGAGUGGAAUUCCAUGUGUAGCGGUGAAAUGCGUAGAUAUAUGGAGGAACACCGGUGGCGAAAGCGGCUCUCUGGUCUGUAACUGACGCUGAGGCUCGAAAGCGUGGGGAGCAAACAGGAUUAGAUACCCCUGUAGUC